AGUAGGAUAGCUGGGUAAAAUGGUGGUUCCAUUCCAUGUUUUCUAAGGAAUCUCCAUACUACUUUCUAUAAUGGUUGCACCAAUUUGCAGUCCCACCAGUGAU
rnacentral:pre_miRNA from 1 species